GGAUACUACCUUUGCCUGCGCCCUUGGAGCGAAUUUGGAAUGUAUUUCCAGUUUGAAGUUGCUGCUGUAGUUGGUGCGUCAGCGCUCAAACUUGAGCACAAAGCAGGAGAGAAAGGGUGAGAGACUUAGAGAAACAGUCAGCGAGGGGAGAGAGAGAGAGAAAGAGAGAGAGAGGAGCGGUCCCCCUUUCCUUUGUCUGAUGCGGGGCGCUUUGAGGAGAGAACUUGAGGGGAUGCUCAAACACGCAUCUUCAUAACGCGCAUUAAUACGCAACAUAUGAGACUUACAGAACUGAUUGAGAGUGAGCUGCAAUGGAGGUGGAUUUAACUCCAGAUUUACCAGCAAAGCGAUUUCUCCUGUGGGAGGUUAUGGAAGUAAAAAAAAAAUAAAAUGUGGAAAUCAAAUGAAGGAUGCAUGGAGUUUUCAAGACUGCGAGCAGGAUUAAGAGACUGUGCUGUUUUCCUUUGGAGAAGGUGACAAGUCAUCCCAUGAGGAAUUAAACUCCAGCAGCAUCAGUGCCAGGAGGGAUUCAUUUUAGGCACACUUGGAAAUCGAAAUCUCAUGGAGACAUUUUGAGGAUUAUAAUGAGAACGAGCGGCUUGUCCCUCUCCUAGACAUGUCCCAGGCCAAAGUCACAGCAGAAGCAGAAGCAGGAUACUUAAUUUCUGAUCCUCCUUGACUCAACUUGGGGAGUGUGGGAGCGAUGAGGUCUGGGAGAUCAUGACCUUAAUUCUCUCCAAGACAGACAGUUUAAUUAACACUGGAGGAAUCCUCACUGGCUCCAGACUGCUACAAUGGAAUGUUCAGGGGAAUUGGAUUGCCAAGGGCCUCUCGGCCAUUUAGUAGACUGUGAAGUUGACAGACGGUGCCCAUGAAUGUUGGAUGAUGACUGGAGGUCUGUCUGGUGCCAAGAGAAUGCAUAAUACAGCAUGGAUACAGUGAUUCCACUUCUGCCCAUCAGAAACACAGCACGGUUGCUGCAUCAUCGGCAGAUCUGCUGUCAGAAGAAAAGUGCUCCUACUUAAAGUGGAAAUCCAUGGAACACUGCUUUCAGGUGUGGCAGAGGGAAAGAUCUAGUCUCGUCUAGACAGGACUGUCAGGGAAGCACUUGUCAGUGACGACUGUCUGCCGACAAAAGUCGCCUGAGGGGAAGAGAGACAGGAGCGAGGACGAGAGAGAGGAGUGAGACAGAGGAAGGGAAAGUCACAGAAAUACAUGUGUGGAAAGUGACCUACAAAACACGGGGGAAUGAAGACAAGGAGGAGGAGAACAGAGUGGUAAAAAGAUAAACAAAGUAAAAAGGAAUGUUCUGUGAGUACAUGUCAAACAGUUGUUUGUCACUUAAAACAUUUAAUUGUUGUCAUCCCCACUGUCACGUCCAUCAACUGCAUUUCAAGGGUUUUCAUUUCAGUUUAGUAAUGUCUGGUGGUUCUUAUGUAUUAUAUGGUGAGAAUUAUGUUAAUUGUUGUUUGAAAAAGUUGUUUGAAAGUUCUUUCUUUUUUGUUUGGAAGAAAUAUAUACUAUGAAUGCCAUUCACUAUACAAGAUGCUCUAAUGUUCUAAUAUUUCUCAUCUACGUUAUGUAGAUUUGAAAAAAAAACAAAAAACACAAUGUGUGCAUCUGAGGACAUUCCGGUACAAAUGUAUGUAUAUGACAUCCGCUAUGAAAUAAUAUUCACAAUUUGGUCGCAGGGGAGCAAAGACAACAUUAAGGACAUGUACUCAUACAAUAUGCAAAGCUCUGCUGAGAAACAUGCCCAGAAUGUGAAAGAAUGUGUACAGCAUUUCACUUUCAACAUUAAAACAUAGAUUAUUCAUGAAUACUUAACAUAACAUAACAACAGUUAUGCUGAACAUUAGACAUUCUAUUAAAGGCAGUGUGUAAUAAUGUGAAUAUUUACUUGAUGUUUGUAUGUUUGCUUAGUUAUGUUAAAGGUGUAUUAUGAAGAGGUUUUAAAAGUUCAUGUACAUUAUGUACUUAUGUAUAUACAUAUAUAUAUGAUUUGUACUGAAAGACCACAGUGUAACACGUUUUCUGCGAGGGUCAGGCAUCAGAAAUACCACAGCGAGGUUAGUCCUAUCACAGCCAUGCUGGGAUCAGUUUGAGGUCUCCCUAUCUGCCUCCUUCCAUAUUCGUCUGUGGUUACUAACCCCAGUUAAAGUGGGCAGAUAGAGGCCCCCACUAGGUUUUCCAUUGACAUUUUAUCACACUUCCUUUUCCUCUUCUCUGGGCCUCCACUCAGUCUACCAGACAGUCAAAUCAAAGACAUUGGUAUAUAACAUUAUGGUGCAUAAUGGAUGGCUGCAUUGCACCGCUGAUGAUAUAUAACCGAAGGUCUCCCAAGGAACUAUAAGCUGAGCUGAGCUUUCCUUUAACGGCCACCGCAACUGAACAUAAACGUUUGCCUCAUACACUGAUUGAUUGAAGUGUGUCACAAUGACUUAUACUGAAUGGUAUGGAAUGGAAUGGAAGGCAAAUUGAAUUUACUUAAGUGUAUGUGAGUGUUUUUUUUUGUUGUUUUUUUUACUUGAACUUAAUGGAGAUAAAUAAAAUCAUUUACUGAAAUUGUAUGGGACUGAAGUGUCAUUAAAAUCAUUUCUUAACCAGUUUGUCAAACUCUGUGUCACACAAUGUUCUUUUUUCAAAGGUAGGUCACUCUUAAUCAUGUGUAAGGUCAUUUAAAAGUUAUCGUGAACAGUCUGUUCUUUUCUAUGGCUUCAAGGUAGGGCGGAACAAUUAAUCGUGUGGUACAAUAUUUGUUAAAGCUAAAAAUGUGUGAAAUAUAAUUUAGUAUAAUAUAAUAUUGACUUGUACAUGUCUUAUUCUACAUGCUGAAGAGAAGAUAUUCAAUGCUACCCAACAACAGGCCAUAUUUCUGAAAACCUAACACAAUAUUUACCAAACAAGCUGUAAUAUGAAUGACUUCAAUAAAGUAAGAA